CACCUCAAGAUAAGAUUUCCCACCGCAAGGUUAAGAUCCCAGGAAGACUACCUGGUUGAUAGGUUAGAGGUGUAAGUGCAGCAAUGUAUUUAGCUUACUAAUACUAAUAGAUCGAGGACUUGACCA
rnacentral:rRNA from 1 species